UCUCGUCCGCUUCAACGCUCCGAGCGACGCGCGAUCGACGCGCAUUGUUAUAGCAGUUUCGAUUCGAUAACGAGAGAUAAGACAAACGCGUAUUUCGCGGCGUUUCCGCGGCUUGUAUCGCAUCGCGCGCGCGCGCGCGAGUGAAAACGACGAGGACCGAAACGGGCGAAACACGACGGAGAACGAGACGCCGCCGACGGUUCGCGUUGAGAACACUGCCUCGAUCAGCGAGAAGUCACGAACGCAAAAGGAAGGCGAGAUGAAAGGUGAGUCUGACGGGGACAAUUUACACGGUGUCAAUUUCAACUUUCGCGGAAAACCCUCAGCCUACCAGGACUGGGCUAUUUUCUCGGUGGAUGCAUCCAGAGCUGAAUUGCCUAUCUCGCCUAGAGACCACAGCCACGAUAAAACAAGUUACAAAGACGAUCGUUUCUCUCGGACGCUCGCAACGUUGAAAGUUGCCGAACAAUAAAUCAUCGCAUCCAACGUGGCAGCGCGACGCGACUUCUUUCCAUCUGUGUCUACCGUCGCGUCGCGCGGGAUCCAACAGCUGAAAGCAAGACGGGGUCCCGGGAGAGGUUGCGCCUUGUUAUGAUUUAACCCACUUCUCGAAGGUCAAGUCGAAAUUAGAAACUCCUACGAUUCGCUUCCGACUUUCGUCCGUGCUCGCGCACGAUCGCGAGCAGGAAUUCGAGGUGGAGAAAGUACUCUUCGACUCCUCCGAGAGCGGUGACGCGGCUUCGUGAGGAGGGAGCAGGAGAAAAGAAAAAUGAAUCUGCUCCUUUGAUCGUAAGAGAGAAAGAGG